GCGCUCGUAGCUCAGCUGGAUAGAGCACCAGACUACGAAUCUGGGGGUCGGGAGUUCGAAUCUCUCCGAGCGCGCCA
rnacentral:tRNA from 6 species